rnacentral:rRNA from 1 species
AUGGCCACCGCGCCGCCGCCCGCGCUCGCCGCGGACCUCCACAUCUCCUCCUACCCGGCCGCCGCCCCGGCCCCGGCCGUCGCCGCCGCGGCGUGGGGCAGCAGCAGGAGGGCGGCGGGCCCGUCGUCGACCCGCGUCGCGCUCAGCGCGGCGAGAGGACGGGGACGCCUCUCCCCGGUGGUGGGAACCGGGCGGCCGGCGCUCUCCGUCAGGUGCAACGCCAGCUCCCGGGACGGGAGGAUUACACAGCAAGAAUUCACCGAGAUGGCAUGGCAGUCGAUUGUUCUGGCACCCGAAGUCGCCAAAGAGAGCAAACACCAGAUCGUGGAGACUGAACAUUUGAUGAAAUCCUUGCUGGAGCAGAGGAACGGGCUUGCCCGUCGAAUCUUCUCCAAAGCUGGAGUUGAUAACACACGGCUUCUCGAUGCCACCGAGAAGUUCAUCCAGCGGCAGCCUAAGGUAUUAGGUGAAGAUCCUGGUUCGAUGUUGGGGCGUGACUUGGAAGCUCUGAUACAGAGGGCGAGAAACUUUAAGAAAGAGUAUGGUGAUUCAUUCGUCUCGGUUGAACAUAUUGUUCUUGGUUUUGCGGAUGAUAAGCGAUUUGGAAGACAGCUGUUCAAGGACUUCCAGAUCACCGUAGAAUCCUUGAAAACAGCUAUUGAAUCCAUAAGAGGGAAGCAAAAUGUAAUUGAUCAAGACCCUGAGGGAAAGUAUGAAGCUUUGGACAAAUAUGGAAAGGACCUGACAGCUAUGGCACGUCAGGGGAAGCUUGACCCUGUUAUAGGAAGAGAUGAUGAAAUCCGUAGGUGCAUUCAGAUUUUGUCUCGGAGAACAAAGAAUAAUCCUGUUUUGAUUGGUGAACCUGGCGUGGGAAAAACAGCCAUAGCUGAAGGGCUUGCUCAGAGGAUAGUGCAAGGAGAUGUCCCACAGGCACUGACAAACCGUCGACUAAUUACACUUGACAUGGGGGCUUUGAUUGCCGGUGCAAAAUAUCGAGGAGAAUUUGAGGAUAGACUGAAGGCUGUACUUAAAGAAGUCACAGAUUCUGAUGGACAGGUUGUUCUCUUCAUUGACGAGAUCCACACUGUUGUUGGAGCAGGUGCCACUUCUGGUGCAAUGGAUGCUGGCAAUCUUCUGAAACCAAUGCUCGGAAGAGGGGAGCUACGUUGCAUUGGUGCAACAACCCUCGAUGAGUACCGCAAAUAUAUUGAGAAAGAUCCAGCACUGGAACGCCGCUUCCAACAAGUGUAUGUUGAUCAACCAACAGUUGAAGAUACAGUGUCAAUACUCCGAGGAUUACGUGAGAGAUACGAAUUGCACCAUGGGGUCCGCAUAUCAGACAGUGCUCUUGUUGCUGCCGCUCUUUUGUCAGAUCGUUACAUCAGCGGACGAUUUUUGCCUGACAAAGCAAUUGAUUUGGUCGAUGAAUCAGCUGCCAAGUUGAAAAUGGAGAUAACAUCGAAGCCGACUGCUCUGGACGAGAUUGAUCGUUCUGUGCUCAAACUUGAAAUGGAACGUCUCUCACUAACAAAUGAUACAGACAAGGCAUCAAGAGACAGAUUAUCUCGCAUUGAAGCAGAAUUGUCACUUUUGAAAGAAAGGCAGAAGGGACUGACUGAGCAGUGGGAGCGUGAAAAGUCGGUGAUGACAAAGAUCCAAUCUAUUAAGGAAGAGAUUGACAGGUUAAAUGUGGAGAUCCAGCAGGCCGAGCGUGAGUAUGAUCUCAAUCGUGCUGCUGAACUGAAGUAUGGUAGUCUGAAUGCAUUGCAGCGGGACCUUCAAAAAACAGAGGAUGAGCUAAACGAAUAUCAAAGUUCUGGGAAAUCCAUGCUAAGAGAAGAGGUGACCCAAGAUGAUAUUGCAGAGAUUGUGAGCAGGUGGACAGGCAUCCCGGUUUCCAAGUUAAAGCAAUCCGACAGAGAAAAGCUGCUGUAUCUCGAGGACGAACUGCACAAGCGUGUAGUGGGGCAGGAUCCUGCAGUCAAAGCAGUUGCAGAGGCCAUCCAGAGAUCCAGAGCUGGUUUGUCUGAUCCAAACCGGCCCAUUGCCAGCUUCAUGUUCAUGGGACCUACAGGAGUGGGCAAAACAGAAUUGGCGAAAGCACUCGCUUCUUUUAUGUUCAACACUGAGGAUGCUGUUGUCAGGAUUGACAUGAGCGAGUAUAUGGAGAAACACUCUGUCUCAAGACUGAUUGGUGCGCCACCAGGUUAUGUUGGGUACGAAGAGGGCGGUCAGCUUACAGAGGCUGUCCGUAGGAGGCCAUACUCUGUGGUCUUGUUUGAUGAGAUUGAGAAAGCCCAUUCAGAUGUAUUCAAUGUUUUCCUGCAAAUAUUGGACGAUGGCAGGGUUACAGACUCGCAGGGCCGGAAGGUGAGCUUCACCAACAGUAUCAUUAUCAUGACAUCCAAUGUUGGUUCACAGUACAUAUUGAAUAUGGAUGAAGAAGGCGGAGCGACUGAUUCGGCCUACGAGAGUAUGAAGAAGAGGGUGAUGGAUGCUGCAAGAUCUGUUUUCCGUCCUGAGUUCAUGAAUCGUGUAGACGAGUACAUCGUCUUCAAGCCUCUUGAGAGGAAGCAGAUAAACAGCAUUGUCAAAUUACAGUUGGCGAGAGUGCAGAAGAGGAUCGCCGACCGCAAGAUCAAACUCGACGUCUCACCGGCAGCAAUCGAGUUCCUGGGAAGCCUUGGCUACGACCCCAACUACGGCGCCAGGCCGGUGAAGCGGGUGCUUCAGCAGUAUGUGGAGAAUGAACUCGCCAAGGGUAUCCUCAGAGGCGAGUUCAAGGAUGAGGACAGCAUCUCCGUCGACACUCAGGUUACGGUGCCGUCCAAUGGCAAGCUCCCGCAGCAGAAGCUCGUCUUCCGGAAGACGAACGAGGAAUCCAAGCCGGCUGCUGCUCAAGAUGAGAAGUUCCUGCCGACAGUCUGA